rnacentral:rRNA from 1 species
ACGAGUGGCGAACGGGUGAGCAAUAUAUCGGAACGUACCAUUCAGUGGGGGAUAACGUAGCGAAAGUUACGCUAAUACCGCAUAUUCUGUGAGCAGGAAAGCAGGGGAUCGCAAGACCUUGCGCUGAUUAGCGGCCGAUAUCAGAUUAGCUUGUUGGUGAGGUAAAAGCUCACCAAGGCGACGAUCUGUAGCGGGUCUGAGAGGAUGAUCCGCCACACUGGAACUGAGACACGGUCCAGACUCCUACGGGAGGCAGCAGUGGGGAAUUUUGGACAAUGGGGGCAACCCUGAUCCAGCCAUGCCGCGUGAGUGAAGAAGGCCUUCGGGUUGUAAAGCUCUUUCAGCCGGGAAGAAAACGCAUGGGUUAAUACCCUGUGUGGAUGACGGUACCGGAAUAAGAAGCACCGGCUAACUACGUGCCAGCAGCCGCGGUAAUACGUAGGGUGCGAGCGUUAAUCGGAAUUACUGGGCGUAAAGCGUGCGCAGGCGGUUUUGUAAGACAGGCGUGAAAUCCCCGGGCUUAACCUGGGAACUGCGUUUGUGACUGCAAGGCUAGAGUACGGCAGAGGGGGGUGGAAUUCCACGUGUAGCAGUGAAAUGCGUAGAGAUGUGGAGGAACACCAAUGGCGAAGGCAGCCCCCUGGGUCGAUACUGACGCUCAUGCACGAAAGCGUGGGUAGCAAACAGGAUUAGAUACCCUGGUAGUCCACGCCCUAAACGAUGUCAACUAGGUGUUGGGAGGGUAAAACCUUUUAGUACCGGAGCUAACGCGUGAAGUUGACCGCCUGGGGAGUACGGCCGCAAGGUUAAAACUCAAAGGAAUUGACGGGGACCCGCACAAGCGGUGGAUGAUGUGGAUUAAUUCGAUGCAACGCGAAAAACCUUACCUACCCUUGACAUGCCAAGAACUUUCCAGAGAUGGAUUGGUGCCCGAAAGGGAACUUGGACACAGGUGCUGCAUGGCUGUCGUCAGCUCGUGUCGUGAGAUGUUGGGUUAAGUCCCGCAACGAGCGCAACCCUUGUCGUUAAUUGCCAUCAUUUAGUUGGGCACUUUAACGAGACUGCCGGUGACAAACCGGAGGAAGGUGGGGUUGACGUCAAGUCCUCAUGGCCCUUAUGGGUAGGGCUUCACACGUCAUACAAUGGUCGGUACAAAGGGUCGCCAAGCCGCGAGGUGGAGCCAAUCCCAGAAAGCCGAUCGUAGUCCGGAUCGCAGUCUGCAACUCGACUGCGUGAAGUCGGAAUCGCUAGUAAUCGUGGAUCAGAAUGUCACGGUGAAUACGUUCCCGGGUCUUGUACACACCGCCCGUCACACCAUGGGAGCGGGUUCCGCCAGAAGUAGGUAGCCUAACCGCAAGGAGGGCGC